UUAAGCAGGUUCUGCACUGACAGCAGAGAGCCCGACGCGGGGCCCGAACUCAAAACCCACGAGAUCAUGACCGGAACCGAAGUCGGAUGCUUAACCGCUGAGCCACCCGGCCGGCCCCUAAGGGGAUUUAAUCUGACCUACGAUUUCUUUCUUGCCUUUGUUCCCCCAUCACUAUGGAGGCGAGAGUGAUGUUGGCGCUCCAGGAAACUGAGUCAAUAGGUUUUUCUGGAGAUUGGACUGUUGACAAGGUUGCCUUUUUCUUGUCAUUUGCUAAGAUAUCCGAAACUGAUGGAGACUCACGUCGGGCACGACCUGAUCUCUUGGCGGGACCGCCCUCAAGGAAGCCCCCCUGAGCCCCUUGGCCUGGGUCACGGUCCCCUCGGGGCUCCCCCAGCCGUGUCCUGACUACUCUGUCAGUCACAGGUCAGCCACUUUUGGUGGAUUUCCUUUCAAAACGUAUCCUGGAGGCACCUGCCCCUCCCCACCUCCACCUGCUAGCCCUGGGGGAGCCAACAUCACCUCCCGCUGGGGCGCCCUGGGGCCUGCCCCACCUCCGUCCCCUGCCGCCUGUUCCCAUCAACGCCACCAGGGGGCGCCAGCCCCUCUUCUGCUCAGAACCCUCCAGGGCUCCCGGAUUAGUCUAAGCAGAGUCCUCACUGGGGACCCCUAGGGCCCACAUGUUCUGGCCCCCUCCCUUAUCUCCGAUCUUACCCCUCCUCACAGAGUUUUGUUUUUUUUUUUAACUAAGGGAUAAUACACAUAACAGAAAUUAAUCAUUUUAAAU